GAUCAAUUAGAUAUCAUGUCCCUUUUAUGUUAUAAUUUUAGGUUCUGUACAGAUUCCUUUCUUGUUUGAGCAUUGUCAUGCUGCAGGCUUGGUUUGCUGUCAGUAUUAUAUUUUGGUCAUGAUAUAUCUUCCUCUCAAGUUGUGUCAUCAAUAUAUGACACUUGAAAUACAGUGAAGCUAGUUACUUAGUCUAAAGAAUACAUAUGUACUUUUGAAAGUUUUUGAGGAUGUUUAGAAUGUGAAACAACCAAGUAGUACAUUUAUUUGAGGUAGUUGGUUUUGUUGUUAGAAUAGUGUAAUAAUUUAGGUGCACAUAUGAACUGCAUUUAUUGGAGGAAAUUGUGUGUGUGUUGUUUUUUUUUCCUGAAUAGAGCAUAAUGAAUGAUUAGUGAGAUUUGUAGUUAGGCUUUGUUCGGGCACAUGAUAGCCCGUAUUUUCUGUGGAUUUUCUCUCUUUUUUUGGCGAGCUAAUUUCAGGAUGUAGAGGCUAAAAGAAAAGUGUAAUUUUCAACGUAGCUUUCAACAUUAAGCAUUUCUGGUUGAAGAAACCUCUUUUCAUAGAAUAUAGACCCAAUGGAUAAUUCUGCUCAAGGAGUUUAUAGUACCAUCAAAUGUCUUGGAUAUCCAUGAGAUACCCUAGGCUGUAAAUUUUUUCUACAGCGACCCUAAGCUGUAUGUGUGAUGUGAUUAAUGUCUAUUUCGUUUGCUACUGAAAGUGGUGUUUCUGUAUGCUUUUGUUGUAUUGUUUCUUUUUCUGUUUGCUUUUCUCUAAAUUGAAGUUAAGUGUUGAAUGUUGGAGUGACAUUUGUGUAUUUUUCUGUUUUGUAGUGAUCACAGCAUAGCAUUAUAUGACUUGCGCAUGGGGAAACCGACAACGAAGCUUAUCAUGGCGGUAUUGUUACUAUAUUGGUUCUAAAUUUUAAUUUGGUGCUGGCUGUUUUUAAACUUCCCUUUCUUACUUUUAAUGUGGUUUGUGGUUAAAUUAGUAAACCUUGUUUCUUGAAGGGGAGCUUUGCGCUUCUAACUUGUAUUUUCUUUUGACAGACAAAUACAAAUUCUAUUUGUUGGAAUCCAAUGGAGCCAUUCAACUUCACUGCUGUGAGUGCACUUAUUUACGUUUUAUCUUUUGCAAAUUGUUCGGACUUCGG
rnacentral:lncRNA from 1 species